AUUGGCUGCUGUGUUUGCACACUCUUCACCCUGCUCCUGCCCACUCUGCUUGUCACCUGCCCCCUGAUAACCCCAUCACUCCUGAAAGAUCCUUAGUGCCUGGAUUUUGUCAUCCAGCCCUGCAGGAUGCCCCCAUUUGUCCUGAGGAAGGCUGUCCCAGACGGAGAGGAGGAGAUGGAGGUGGAUACAGAGAUUGAUAGAGAGGAGGACAUGGAGAUGAAGGGAGAAGGCACUGGAGAGGAGGAGAUGGAGGUGGAGGUGGAGGUGGAAGAGGAGAUGGAAGUGGAUAUGGAAGAGUCCAUUGAGGACAUGGACAUUGAUUGAAAAGGUGCAAAGUCCAGAUGGAUUUCAAUGAAGAAUGUGUAACUCUAUCAAGAGCAAGAGAAACGUUGACCAUUCAACAAGCAAAGAAGACAGAUAUUGGACAUGCUGUCUCAAGAUGUACAAAGUGUAAAUCAUGCAGUAUUGCAGAAUAGAGCAGCAAUGUAUGCUAUAGGGAUAUUAGGUGUAAUAGUAUUGCUAAUGCUGUAUUACCAUGCUUGCUUAAUUGCGUCCAAAGAAUAGUGAGUCAGAUGAUGGGAAGGGCUUGGAAAACAACACUUCUGGCCCAAAAAGAAAAUGGGGGAAAUGUUGGGAGCUUUGUAACAAGCUAGCUCCGAGCUAAAGGUCACUGUGAGAUUAAUUUGACCGAGAUAGAGAAUGAGGGGAGUUGCCAUUCCAACUAAACUGUGUCCUUGGCCCACGGAUGAAGAAAUGCACAGACACAGGUGGUAAAGCCAAACAGCCUGGGAAAGUAGUAAGUAGUUAUACCAAAACAGCACGUAGAUAGCUGAUAACUAAUUAGCCAAUGGUGAGCUGGGAUUUGCACUAUGCAUGAGCUAAUUAAAAGGUGUAUAAUAAUUGGCGAUUCGGGAAUAAAGACGAGACUUGUCGAUCAUCAUAUGGUGAGCGAGUCUUCCUUCUCCAUCAGUUCUGCCCUCUUCCUGAUGAUGCUGUGCAC